rnacentral:rRNA from 4 species
CCUGGCGGCUGUAGCGCGGUGGUCCCACCUGACCCCAUGCCGAACUCAGAAGUGAAACGCCGUAGCGCCGAUGGUAGUGUGGGGUCUCCCCAUGCGAGAGUAGGGAACUGCCAGG